rnacentral:rRNA from 1 species
AAAUGCGUAGAGAUCGACUAGAACACCGGUGNNGAAGGCGAGUNNCCGGACAGUUNNUGACGCUCAGGCACGAAAGCCAGGGGAGCAAACGGGAUUAGAUACCCCGGUAGUCCUGGCCCUAAACGGUGUUCACUUGGUGUGCGGGGAGUCGACCCCCUGCGUGCCGAAGCUAACGCGAUAAGUGAACCGCCUGGGAAGUACGACCGCAAGGUUAAAACUCAAAGAAAUUGACGGGGGCCCGCACAAGCGGUGGGGCAUGUGGCUUAAUUCGAUGCAACGCGAAGAACCUUACCUGGCCUUGACAUGCUGGUAGUAGAAGCCGGAAACGGUGACGACUCCUCGCAAGAGGAGAGCCAGCACAGGUGCUGCAUGGUUGUCGUCAGCUCGUGUCGUGAGAUGUUGGCUUAAGUGCCGCAACGAGCGCAACCCCUGUGUUUAGUUGCCUGCGAAAGCGGGAUCUCUAAACAGACUGCCUCGCUUUAAACGAGGAGGAAGGUGGGGAUGACGUCAAAUCAGUAUGGCCCUUACGGCCAGGGCUGCACACGUGCUACAAUGCAUGGUACAGAGGGACGCAAGACCGCGAGGUGGAGCAAAUCCCAGAAAACCAUGCCCAGUUCAGAUUGAAGGCUGCAACUCGCCUUCAUGAAGCCGGAAUCGCUAGUAAUGGCGCAUCAGCUACGGCGCCGUGAAUACGUUCCCGGGCCUUGUACACACCGCCCGUCACAUCAUGGAAGCGGUCUGCACCCGAAGUCGCCGCGUCAACCCGUAAGGGAGACAGGCGCCGAAGGUAUGGAUCGUGACUGGGAUGAAGUCGUAACAAGGUAGCCG